rnacentral:pre_miRNA from 1 species
AGCUUUUCGAAUCCGUGCUGAGAUUUCAUCAGACACCAAUCCAUUCGGGCUGGUUAGACUUCCAAGAUACGUAAAGUU